UACGAACUGUGCAAACGUUAUUCGGAAUCACUGGGCUUACAGGGUGCGUAGGCGGCUUGUUAAGUAGGGUGUGAAAGCCCCCGGCUCAACCGGGGAAUUGCGCCCUAAACUGGCGAGCUGGAGUGAGAUAGGGGUGUGUGGAACUUCCGGUGGAGCGGUGAAAUGUGUUGAUAUCGGAAGGAACGCCGGUGGCGAAAGCGACACACUGGAUCUUGUCUGACGCUGAGGCACGAAAGCCAAGGGAGCGAACGGG
rnacentral:rRNA from 1 species